rnacentral:tRNA from 4 species
GGUGAUAUAGCUCAGUCGGUUAGAGCACAGCACUCAUAACGCUGGGGUCGGUGGUUCAAAUCCACCUAUCACCACCA